rnacentral:lncRNA from 1 species
GGGGAGUUUCUGCCUUCAACGAGAGAACAACAUGAAGCGACAGAUGGCAGUUGCGGAGUGCACCUCUGAGAGGGUGGUGUGCGGUGAAGCGGGAGUAGAACAGGAGAGAAGUUGAGCUCCAGUCCCUCUAUUCUGCCGUCUUCGACAAGACAACACUCUUUUGCCAGUGCAGCCCUCCAGGGAAUAUGUACUGAGUGACACUUCACAGAACGAAACAGAAAGCAGUGGUUAAUUUGACCCACUACAGAUGACAGAAACGGAACCAACCGAGUGACCGAUGACAAUUAUUUCCAACAUUUAAAAUACCGAGAUGAGAAAACUGGCAACAGAAAAACUGGAUAAUUUACCCAAAGUCAUUUCUCUAGGAAAUUAUAGAGCUGGUACUCAAUCUCAGGCCAUCUGAUCCAAAUCCAUGUAAAUAACAGUUAUCCCAGGAGUCUGUAAGAAUGCAUGUGGCCAGCAAGUCCCUGACCUUACAGUGACUGUGAACAUGAGUGGGGGGAGGGAAAACUGGAUCCAUUGGUUCUCAUUCUAUGAACCCAGUGUACGAGGAAUCUUAUUUUCUAAGGAAAUAAACUCAACUUCUGCUAUCAGCCUAGUCAGGUGAGACAGAAGCACGAAGUCAUUUAACUAUCAGCGUACACCUGACCCCUGGUGUCUGCCAGGGAUUGGUUGCAGGCCCCCGAGGAUAACACAGUUCACAGCUGCUCAAGUCCCUUCUAUAACAUGGUGUAGUGUUUGCAUAUAAUCUCCACACCUCCUCCUGUAGACUCUACGUCAUCUCUAGAUUACUUACAAUACAGAAUACAAUGUACAUACUAUGUAAAUAGUUGCCUUCACAUUUGUAAAUUUAAGUUUUGCUUUUUGGAACUUUCUGAAGUUGUGUUCGAAUAUGUUCAUUCUGCUGUUGGUUGAAUCUGGAUGCGGAAACCACAGAUAAGGAGGGCCAACUGUAUGUAACUAUGUGAGAUGAUCCCCAGCUGAAAAAGAGGAAGCGAAACGGAUACACCCUUAUGCCUGUAGAGAUACAAGAUUCUGCUUCCCCAGAUGGCCUCAGCAGGGGUGGGUUCUGUGAGACCUGCUUUAUAAAGAGAAGGGCAAUGUCACCAGACUCAUAUCUGUGGAACUCGGUUAGCAUUCUGUAAAGAGGGAGCCGGUUACACCGUACCAGCUGUCAAUACUCCUGUUUUAAUAAGAAAACCACUUUUGGAACAAAAUCGGACCGACACUGGGAUAGACUAGGAUGGCGUAGACACAACAAGUACUAACUUGGUGUGGGAUUAUUAAGACGCAAGCUCCCCAACCCAGCUGAGUCAAUGGGCAGGAUCCCUUUGCAGUUUUCAACUUGUCCUGAAAUGCUGUAAGCCUCCUGCCACGUGGAAUCAGGGCAGCGUCUUUGGAAACCAAUGAGGACCGUCACACCACCCAGGAAGAGAGCGGCGGGGUGCUGUGAACGGCUAUCUGUUUACGCGUGUCUGGCAGUGAAAAGACAAUGGCUUCUAGCCAUAGAGUCAAACCUUUUGAUUAACGAGGGAAAGGGAGGACCUCUUCUGUUUGGACCAACUCAGCAUUCCCUGGACAACUAAGUUUCCUUUUUUCUGCCUCUCCUGACAGUCCUGAGAGGCGGCUUGGACCGUCUCGCCUGGUCGCAUGACUUCUGCUGUCCAGAUCUGCACAGGCUGCCCCUUUCCUCCUCGUUGCUCUCUGGGCUCCUAAACACCAGGUUGGCUUUGGGCGCUCCGGGUCUCCUAAAGCCUUCCUUUGGGACUUCUGGUCAGCUCGGUAGCUGCUAGUUUCUAGCACACUGAAUUUUGCCUGCCUUUGGCCUCUGGAUCACUUAGUUGUUUGUUUGUUUUUUCCCUUUGAUUCUUGUGUACCACACUCCUCUUUUUUUCAUGCUGGCUGGCCCAUUGCCCAGCAGACAUCCAUUUCCAACUUUCCUUACCUGUUUGAUUUUGUUUUACCUGUUUCUGCAAAGCACUAUCAUGACUCAGAAUCCCAGAACUGACAUUUUUGAUGGAGCCGUCAAGAGGAAAUGCUUUUUGGAAAGAGGAAACGCACAAUUAGAGGAGAAGAUGGUUUAGCCUUCUUUAGAUUUGAGUCUCAGGAAGGCAACAAUAGAGACAAGAAAGUUUAAAAGAUCUGAAUUAUAGCAGAAUGCCAUUUGUUGUUGUAAUACAUGUAAAAAAAUAAUAAUUAUCUCAGAAUAAUUUGAAAUAAGAAACCGGAUAGAUCAUUGAUCCUUAAUAAUAGCCAAUUUUUCUUUUUCCUUAAUUUUUUUGACUUUUUUUGUUGCUCAAAUGAAUUUAUCACAUCUGUAGUUGUAUAAUGAUCAUAACAAUCUGAUUUCACAGGAUUUCCAUCUCACAGCCCAAGCACAUCCCGCCACCCCCCAAACUGUCUCCUCCAGAGACCAUAAGUUUUUCAAUAUCUGUGAGUCAGCAUCUGUUCUGCAAAAAAGUUCAGUCUGUCCUUUUUUCAAAUUCCACAUGUCAGUGAAAGCAUUUGAUGUUGGUGUCUCAUUGUAUGGCUGACUUCACUUAGCAUGAUAAUUUCUAGGUCCAUCCAUGUUGCUACAGUUGCCAUUAUUUCAUUCCUUUUAAUAGCUGGGUAAUAUUCCAUUGUGUAUAUGUACCACAUCUUCUGAAUCCACUCCUCUGUCGAUGGACAUUUAGGUUGUUUCCAUUUCUUGGCUAUUGCAAAUAGUGCUGCGAUGAACAUUGGAGUGCAUGUGUCUUUGCGAGUUGUGGUUUUCUCUGGAUGGAUGCCCAGGAGUGGGGUUACUGGAUCAAAUGGUAGUUCUAUUUUUAGUUUUCUGAGGCAUCUCUAUACUGUUUUCCACAGGGGUGCUACCAAUUUACAAUCCCACCAACAGUGAAAUAGGGUUCCUUUUUCUUCACACCCUCUCCAGCACUUAUUGUUUGUAGACUUUUUGAUGAUGGCCAUUCUGGCUGGUGUAAGGUGGUACCUCAUAGUGGUUUUGAUUUGCUUCUCUCUAAUAAUGAAUGAUGCUAACAUCUUUUCAUGUGUUUUUUGGCCAUUUGUAUGUCUUCUUUGGAGAAUUGUCUGUUUAGAUCUUCUGCCCAUUUUUUGAUGGGCUUGUUUGUUUUUUUGAUAUGGAGCUGCAGAAGGUGUUUAUAAAUUUUGGAGAUGAAUCCCUUGUCAGUCGAUUCACUUGCAAAGAUUUUCUUCCAUUCUGUGGGUUGUCUCUUUGUGUUGUUUAGGGUUUCCUUUGCUGUGCAGAAACUUUUAAGUUUGAGUAGGUCCCAUUUGUUUAUUUAUUUAUUUAUUUAUUUGGUCUUUUUUUUUUUUUUUGCUAUUUCUUGGGCUGCUCCCACGGCAUAUGGAGGUUCCCAGGCUGGGGGUCUAAUUGGAGCUGUAGCCACCUGCCUAUGACAGAGCCACAGCAACUCGGGAUCCGAGCUGCGUCUGCAACCUACACCACAGCUCACGGCAACGCCGGAUUGUUAACCCACGGAGCAAGGGCAGGGACCGAACCUGCAACCUGAUGGUUCCUAGUCGGAUUCGUUAACCACUGCGCCACGACGGGAACUCCCCAUUUGUUUAUUUUUGUUUUUAUUAUCAACACUCUAAGAGGUGGAUUUGAGAAGAUGUUGCUGUCAUUUAUGUCAGAGAGUAUUUAGCCUAUGCUUUCCUCUAAGAGUUUUAUAGUAUCUGGUCUUAUAUCUAGGUCGUUAAUCCAUUUGGAGUUGAUUUUUAUGUGUGGUGUUAGGGAGUGUCUAAUUUCAUUCUUUUCCAUGUGGCUGUCCACUUUUGCCAGCACCACUUAUUGAACAAACUGUCCUUUCUCCAUUGUGUAUUCUUGCCUCCUUUGUCAUAGAUGAGUUGGCUGUAGGUGUGUGGGUUUAAUUCUGGGCUUUCUAUCCUUUUCCACUGAUCAAUAAAAAAUACG